UACGGAGGAUGCAAGCGUUAUCCGGAUUUAUUGGGUUUAAAGGGUGCGUAGGCGGAUCAAUAAGUCAGUGGUGAAAACCUUCAGCUUAACUGGAGACUUGCCAUUGAUACUGUUAGUCUUGAGUAUGGUUAAGGUAGGCGGAAUGUGUAAUGUAGCGGUGAAAUGCUUAGAUAUUACACAGAACACCAAUUGCGAAGGCAGCUUACUGAGCCAUAACUGACGCUGAUGCACGAAAGCGUGGGGAGCGAACAGG
rnacentral:rRNA from 1 species